GCACCAGCGAGGCAGAGGACCCAGGGGAGCCUGUUCCCAGUGCGCGUGUGCUGCUAGAAGAGCUGCUAGAAGACAACAGCAGCUAAGACAAAAGGAGCGACUCGGGAAUAAGGCUUGGAGAUGAUUGCCCCUCCCAUAAGGUAUAAAGAUCUUUCUUCGUUGUCUACUCCUAUUGAAAGUUCUCAACUGAAGACAACUUGAGUUCAGGAAACUCACUUUAGCACCUCUGAAGGAAGGGGAAUGACGGUCACACAACCUUGGCAUGUUCACACAUUAAAAAUUCAGCUUUAUUUGCAUUUUAUCUUCAGGAGGAAUACCUAAGAUGAAUCAUCUGCUACAUUUUUGGCUCCGGACUAUUUCAACUUUUCACUCCUUCACUCUCUCAAAAUUAAGGCAGCAAGAGAAGUAACAUGUCCUGUGGAGAAGUGAAGCUCCCCAUCUAAGAAAUUCCAAGUAAUUUGACGUUGAUCAUUCUAAUGUGGCCAAGUGGACACCACGUACCUCAACCACAGUGCCGUUAUCUACAUUAGGUUUCUCCAACUUGGCAUCCUGAAGAUACGUUAACCAUCAGCCUGUCUCUCUCUCUCCAGCCAAAGAAUAUAUUUGGGUAGGAUAAUUGGUCAUAAAUCCAACCAUUGUAACUGGGCAGGAAAGGCUGGCACCUGUGCAGUGUAUCAUCCUUAUCCAUCUAGAAUGAUGCACAUCAAAGAGCAGCAAAUGGUGAUGUCAUUAUAGUGCAAAUGUCAAUGUUACAUCCUUGACCACAAUGCAAGGACGCAAUGGUGGCACGUUCUUUGAUAGCAUCAUUCACAGAGGCAGCUGCUUAGAAGGUCUGAUGAAACAGAGGUACUUACUCAGCAAGGCAUUCCAAAUGCCACAAGGAAUUUUUGGGGUGGCAUAAAUAGAUUUUCAAAUAAAUACAAUAAACAUUGAGGCUCAAAUUGAUCCACCCUUGGCUAUUGAAAUAGGAACUAAUUAUGAAAAAGAAAAAAACCAGAACGAGCAAACCAAAGCUUGCCUUGUUUGUUUCCCC